AGAGACAUCAUGCCAAUAGGUACCAGUCAUGGUGAGUAGAGACAUGUCAAUAGGUACCAGUCAUGGUGAGUAGAGACCUCAUGUCAAUAGGUACCAGUCAUGGUGAAUAGAGACAUCAUGUCAAUAGGUACCAGUCAUGGUGAGUAGAGACAUGUCAAUAGGUACCAGUCAUGGUGAGUAGAGACAUGUCAAUAGGUACCAGUCAUGGUGAGUAGACCUCAUGUCAAUAGGUACCAGUCAUGGUGAGUAGAGACAUGUCAAUAGGUACAGGUCAUGGUGAGUAGAGACAUCGUGCCAAUAGGUACCAGUGAUGGUGAAUGGAGACAUCGUGCCAAUAGGUACCAGUGAUGGUGAAUGGAGACAUCGUGCCAAUAGGUACCAGUGAUGGUGAAUGGAGACAUCGUGCCAAUAGGUACCAGUCAUGGUGAGUAGAGACAUGUCAAUAGGUACCAGUCAUGGUGAGUAGAGACAUCGUGCCAAUAGGUACCAGUCAUGGUGAGUAGAGACAUGUCAAUAGGUACCAGUCAUGGUGAAUAGAGACAUGUCAAUAGGUACCAGUCAUGGUGAGUAGAGACCUCAUGUCAAUAGGUACCAGUCAUGGUGAGUAGAGACCUCAUGUCAAUAGGUACCAGUCAUGGUGAGUAGAGACCUCAUAUCAAUAGGUACCAGUCAUGGUCAGUAGAGACCUCAUGUCAAUAGGUACCAGUCAUGGUGAGUAGAGUGAGACAUCAUGCCAAUAGGUACCAGUCAUGGUGAGUAGAGACCUCAUGUCAAUAGGUACCAGUCAUGGUGAGUGGAGUGAGACAUCAUGCCAAUAGGUACCAGUCAUGGUGAGUAGAGACCUCAUGUCAAUAGGUACCAG
ensembl:lncRNA